rnacentral:pre_miRNA from 1 species
UUUAUACUCUCUCCGAUCCAUAUUAAUUGUUGAAAUAUUACAUGUAUAUGUAUUUAGAUGUUUUUUAGGCAUAGAUACAUACAUAUUUGGGCAAAUUUCAGACAAUUAAUAUGGAUCGGAGGAAGUGAUUU